rnacentral:rRNA from 1 species
AACGAACGCUGGCGGCAUGCCUAACACAUGCAAGUCGAACGAGACCUUCGGGUCUAGUGGCGCACGGGUGCGUAACGCGUGGGAACCUGCCCUUAGGUUCGGAAUAACUCCCCGAAAGGGGUGCUAAUACCGGAUAAUGUCUUCGGACCAAAGAUUUAUCGCCUUUGGAUGGGCCCGCGUUGGAUUAGCUAGUUGGUAGGGUAAAAGCCUACCAAGGCGACGAUCCAUAGCUGGUCUGAGAGGAUAAACAGCCACACUGGGACUGAGACACGGCCCAGACUCCUACGGGAAGCAGCAGUGGGGAAUAUUGGACAAUGGGCGAAAGCCUGAUCCAGCAAUGCCGCGUGAGUGAUGAAGGCCUUAGGGUUGUAAAGCUCUUUUACCCGGGAUGAUAAUGACAGUACCGGGAGAAUAAGCUCCGGCUAACUCCGUG